GAGGGUAUAGCUCAGUGGUAGAGCGUGUGCUUAGCAUGCACUUGGUUCUGGGUUCAAUCCCCCGUAUCUCCA
rnacentral:tRNA from 1 species